GGGUUGUGAGGUUAAGCGACUAAGCGUACACGGUGGAUGCCCUGGCAGUCAGAGGCGAUGAAGGACGUGCUAAUCUGCGAUAAGCGUCGGUAAGGUGAUAUGAACCGUUAUAACCGGCGAUUUCCGAAUGGGGAAACCCAGUGUGAUUCGUCACACUAUCAUUAACUGAAUCCAUAGGUUAAUGAGGCGAACCGGGGGAACUGAAACAUCUAAGUACCCCGAGGAAAAGAAAUCAACCGAGAUUCCCCCAGUAGCGGCGAGCGAACGGGGAGCAGCCCAGAGCCUGAAUCAGUGUGUGUGUUAGUGGAAGCGUCUGGAAAGGCGCGCGAUACAGGGUGACAGCCCCGUACACAAAAAUGCACAUGCUGUGAGCUCGAUGAGUAGGGCGGGACACGUGGUAUCCUGUCUGAAUAUGGGGGGACCAUCCUCCAAGGCUAAAUACUCCUGACUGACCGAUAGUGAACCAGUACCGUGAGGGAAAGGCGAAAAGAACCCCGGCGAGGGGAGUGAAAAAGAACCUGAAACCGUGUACGUACAAGCAGUGGGAGCACGCUUAGGCGUGUGACUGCGUACCUUUUGUAUAAUGGGUCAGCGACUUAUAUUCUGUAGCAAGGUUAACCGAAUAGGGGAGCCGAAGGGAAACCGAGUCUUAACUGGGCGUUAAGUUGCAGGGUAUAGACCCGAAACCCGGUGAUCUAGCCAUGGGCAGGUUGAAGGUUGGGUAACACUAACUGGAGGACCGAACCGACUAAUGUUGAAAAAUUAGCGGAUGACUUGUGGCUGGGGGUGAAAGGCCAAUCAAACCGGGAGAUAGCUGGUUCUCCCCGAAAGCUAUUUAGGUAGCGCCUCGUGAAUUCAUCUCCGGGGGUAGAGCACUGUUUCGGCAAGGGGGUCAUCCCGACUUACCAACCCGAUGCAAACUGCGAAUACCGGAGAAUGUUAUCACGGGAGACACACGGCGGGUGCUAACGUCCGUCGUGAAGAGGGAAACAACCCAGACCGCCAGCUAAGGUCCCAAAGUCAUGGUUAAGUGGGAAACGAUGUGGGAAGGCCCAGACAGCCAGGAUGUUGGCUUAGAAGCAGCCAUCAUUUAAAGAAAGCGUAAUAGCUCACUGGUCGAGUCGGCCUGCGCGGAAGAUGUAACGGGGCUAAACCAUGCACCGAAGCUGCGGCAGCGACGCUUAUGCGUUGUUGGGUAGGGGAGCGUUCUGUAAGCCUGCGAAGGUGUGCUGUGAGGCAUGCUGGAGGUAUCAGAAGUGCGAAUGCUGACAUAAGUAACGAUAAAGCGGGUGAAAAGCCCGCUCGCCGGAAGACCAAGGGUUCCUGUCCAACGUUAAUCGGGGCAGGGUGAGUCGACCCCUAAGGCGAGGCCGAAAGGCGUAGUCGAUGGGAAACAGGUUAAUAUUCCUGUACUUGGUGUUACUGCGAAGGGGGGACGGAGAAGGCUAUGUUGGCCGGGCGACGGUUGUCCCGGUUUAAGCGUGUAGGCUGGUUUUCCAGGCAAAUCCGGAAAAUCAAGGCUGAGGCGUGAUGACGAGGCACUACGGUGCUGAAGCAACAAAUGCCCUGCUUCCAGGAAAAGCCUCUAAGCAUCAGGUAACAUCAAAUCGUACCCCAAACCGACACAGGUGGUCAGGUAGAGAAUACCAAGGCGCUUGAGAGAACUCGGGUGAAGGAACUAGGCAAAAUGGUGCCGUAACUUCGGGAGAAGGCACGCUGAUAUGUAGGUGAAGCGACUUGCUCGUGGAGCUGAAAUCAGUCGAAGAUACCAGCUGGCUGCAACUGUUUAUUAAAAACACAGCACUGUGCAAACACGAAAGUGGACGUAUACGGUGUGACGCCUGCCCGGUGCCGGAAGGUUAAUUGAUGGGGUCAGCGCAAGCGAAGCUCUUGAUCGAAGCCCCGGUAAACGGCGGCCGUAACUAUAACGGUCCUAAGGUAGCGAAAUUCCUUGUCGGGUAAGUUCCGACCUGCACGAAUGGCGUAAUGAUGGCCAGGCUGUCUCCACCCGAGACUCAGUGAAAUUGAACUCGCUGUGAAGAUGCAGUGUACCCGCGGCAAGACGGAAAGACCCCGUGAACCUUUACUAUAGCUUGACACUGAACAUUGAGCCUUGAUGUGUAGGAUAGGUGGGAGGCUUUGAAGUGUGGACGCCAGUCUGCAUGGAGCCGACCUUGAAAUACCACCCUUUAAUGUUUGAUGUUCUAACGUUGACCCGUAAUCCGGGUUGCGGACAGUGUCUGGUGGGUAGUUUGACUGGGGCGGUCUCCUCCUAAAGAGUAACGGAGGAGCACGAAGGUUGGCUAAUCCUGGUCGGACAUCAGGAGGUUAGUGCAAUGGCAUAAGCCAGCUUGACUGCGAGCGUGACGGCGCGAGCAGGUGCGAAAGCAGGUCAUAGUGAUCCGGUGGUUCUGAAUGGAAGGGCCAUCGCUCAACGGAUAAAAGGUACUCCGGGGAUAACAGGCUGAUACCGCCCAAGAGUUCAUAUCGACGGCGGUGUUUGGCACCUCGAUGUCGGCUCAUCACAUCCUGGGGCUGAAGUAGGUCCCAAGGGUAUGGCUGUUCGCCAUUUAAAGUGGUACGCGAGCUGGGUUUAGAACGUCGUGAGACAGUUCGGUCCCUAUCUGCCGUGGGCGCUGGAGAACUGAGGGGGGCUGCUCCUAGUACGAGAGGACCGGAGUGGACGCAUCACUGGUGUUCGGGUUGUCAUGCCAAUGGCACUGCCCGGUAGCUAAAUGCGGAAGAGAUAAGUGCUGAAAGCAUCUAAGCACGAAACUUGCCCCGAGAUGAGUUCUCCCUGACUCCUUGAGAGUCCUGAAGGAACGUUGAAGACGACGACGUUGAUAGGCCGGGUGUGUAAGCGCAGCGAUGCGUUGAGCUAACCGGUACUAAUGAACCGUGAGGCUUAACCUUACAACGCCGAAG
rnacentral:rRNA from 1 species